UCUUCAUCAUCAUCUUCAUCAUGUUCUCUGUAGCUCUGCUGCUGGUGGCUGCUGCAUCCUGUGUGAAGUGUGAACAGCUGACUCAGCCAGCCUCUGUGACUGUGCAGCCAGGUCAGCGUCUGACCAUCAGCUGUCAGGUCUCUUAUUCUCUCACCAGCUCCAGGACACACUGGAUCAGACAGCCUGCAGGAAAAACACUGGAAUAUAUCUGUAGUGCACAUAUUGGAUAUGCCACAUACUUCAAAGAUUCUCUCAAAAAUAAGUUCAGCAUUAAUUUAGACUCUUCCAGUAAAAGUCACGUGGGUAAUACACAGCAGAGUCUUCAGGCUGCAAGUUCUGUCCGUUCAGAGUCACUCUCUCAGUUAGAAGAUGCCAUAUUGGCAGUGAACUCCUUCUCCACUAUGACAAUUGACAUUCACAUUCCAAACAAAUAUUUCCCGAACCUAUCCAUCUUGGUCUUUGUUACAGGCUUUGUUAAAACAUCUGCAACCAUACUGGAUUCUUAG